rnacentral:tRNA from 1 species
UUGAGGAUUUAGCUCAGGGGCAGAGUGCUUGCCUAGCAAGUGCAAGGCCCUGAGUUUGAUCCUCAGCCCUGAAA